AGGUUUCCGUAGGUGAACCUGCGGAAGGAUCAUUACCGAGUGUAGGGUUCCUAGCGAGCCCAACCUCCCACCCGUGUUUACUGUACCUUAGUUGCUUCGGCGGGCCCGCCAUUCAUGGCCGCCGGGGGCUCUCAGCCCCGGGCCCGCGCCCGCCGGAGACACCACGAACUCUGUCUGAUCUAGUGAAGUCUGAGUUGAUUGUAUCGCAAUCAGUUAAAACUUUCAACAAUGGAUCUCUUGGUUCCGGCAUCGAUGAAGAACGCAGCGAAAUGCGAUAACUAGUGUGAAUUGCAGAAUUCCGUGAAUCAUCGAGUCUUUGAACGCACAUUGCGCCCCCUGGUAUUCCGGGGGGCAUGCCUGUCCGAGCGUCAUUGCUGCCCAUCAAGCACGGCUUGUGUGUUGGGUCGUCGUCCCCUCUCCGGGGGGGACGGGCCCCAAAGGCAGCGGCGGCACCGCGUCCGAUCCUCGAGCGUAUGGGGCUUUGUCACCCGCUCUGUAGGCCCGGCCGGCGCUUGCCGAACGCAAAUCAAUCUUUUCCAG
rnacentral:rRNA from 1 species